GCACAAGCGGUGGAGCAUGUGGUUUAAUUCGACGCAACGCGCAGAACCUUACCAGCCCUUGACAUCCCGGUCGCGGAUUCCAGAGACGGAAUCCUUCAGUUCGGCUGGACCGGAGACAGGUGCUGCAUGGCUGUCGUCAGCUCGUGUCGUGAGAUGUUGGGUUAAGUCCCGCAACGAGCGCAACCCCCGUCCUUAGUUGCUACCAUUUAGUUGAGCACUCUAAGGAGACUGCCGGUGAUAAGCCGCGAGGAAGGUGGGGAUGACGUCAAGUCCUCAUGGCCCUUACGGGCUGGGCUACACACGUGCUACAAUGGCGGUGACAAUGGGACGCUAAGGGGCAACCCUUCGCAAAUCUCAAAAAGCCGUCUCAGUUCGGAUUGGGCUCUGCAACUCGAGCCCAUGAAGUUGGAAUCGCUAGUAAUCGUGGAUCAGCACGCCACGGUGAAUACGUUCCCGGGC
rnacentral:rRNA from 1 species